UUACAGCCAUAUCAUGUUGAAACAUCAGUUCCCAUACAAUCACUGAAGUUAAGCAAUGUUGAAUCCGGUUAGUACCUAGAUGGGUCAUUGCUUGGAAAUAUCAGGUGGUUG